rnacentral:misc_RNA from 1 species
CUUGUUAGAGGAAGUAAAAGUCGUAACAAGGUUUCCGUAGGUGAACCUGCGGAAGGAUCAUUAGUGGAAAGUUUACUUUACACUUUAAACCAACAUUGUGAACCAUUAGCCAGGUAUGUUCUCUAGCCAGGCCCGUAAGGGGAGGCAAGAGCCGGGAUCGCAGGUCGCAGAAGUCAUUUUUCGCAAGAAGAGUGGUCGGAUGUAGGCUCAGUGGGGGGUAGGAAUCUUAAUCUCUUUAGUGGGAGCGGUGAACUACCUAUUCAACUCAUUGAUCUCCUGUGGUUUGAGGGUGUACUACCAUCAGUUGGUCUUCGGAUUAGCUCCAGUGUAGUGCCGGUAUAUCGUACGUUAAUAACUAAACCCGUGAGUGACGCAUGCUAGUUUAUAUUAUUGCCUAAAAAACCCUCAAUAUUUAUAUUGAACCAAUACAACCUAUAACAAUGGAUCUCUAGGCUCCU